CCUACGGGAGGCUGCAGUGGGGAAUAUUGGGCAAUGGGCGCAAGCCUGACCCAGCAACGCCGCGUGAAGGAAGAAGGCUUUCGGGUUGUAAACUUCUUUUCUGAGGGACGAAGAAAGUGACGGUACCUCAGGAAUAAGCCACGGCUAACUACGUGCCAGCAGCCGCGGUAAUACGUAGGUGGCAAGCGUUAUCCGGAUUUAUUGGGUGUAAAGGGCGUGUAGGCGGGAAAGCAAGUCAGAUGUGAAAACUCAGGGCUCAACCCUGAGCCUGCAUUUGAAACUGUUUUUCUUGAGUGCUGGAGAGGCAAUCGGAAUGCCGGGUGUAGCGGUGAAAUGCGUAGAUAUACGGAGGAACACCAGUGGCGAAGGCGGAUUGCUGGACAGUAACUGACAUUGAUGCUCGAAAGUGUGGGUAUCAAACAGGAUUAGAUACCCCGGUAGUC
rnacentral:rRNA from 1 species